AAGAUACUAGUAAUAAAAAUUACACUGCCUUGUCAAGGCAGAGUUGUAGGUUAAACUCCUGCGUACCUUA
rnacentral:tRNA from 2 species